rnacentral:rRNA from 1 species
UACAGAGGUCUCAAGCGUUGUCCGGAAUCAUUGGGCGUAAAGGGCGCGUAGGUGGCGGGACAAGCGUGCGGUGAAAGCCUGGGGCUCAACCCCGGGUCGGCCGUGCGAACUGUUUUGCUUGAGCACUGUAGAGGCAGGCGGAAUUCCGGGUGUAGCGGUGGAAUGCGUAGAGAUCCGGAAGAACACCGGUGGCGAAGGCGGCCUGCUGGGCAGUAGCUGACACUGAGGCGCGACAGCGUGGGGAGCAAACAGG